GCUAAAAUAAGUAAGUCUGUUCGACUUUUAAAAAAUUACAUGAUUUGAGUUCAAAUCGGUGAAAACCAGAUUGGUUUCUAUCUUUAUUAUAUAAUUUAUUAGUACGAAAGGACCAUAAACACUAUUAAUCAAUUUCUUAAUGGCAGAAAA
rnacentral:rRNA from 1 species